CCGAGUUUACAACUCCCAAACCCCUGUGAACAUACCAAUUGUUGCCUCGGCGGAUCAGCCCGCUCCCGGUAAAACGGGACGGCCGCCAGAGGACCCCUAAACUCUGUUUCUAUAUGUAACUUCUGAGUAAAACCAUAAAUAAAUCA
rnacentral:misc_RNA from 1 species